ensembl:antisense D430036J16Rik RIKEN cDNA D430036J16 gene
AGGCAUCACCAGGGAGAUGAUGAAGAAGGGCAGCCAACACACAAUAAAUGCUCCUAAAAUGAUCCCUAGGGUCUUGGUGGCUUUGCGCUCCCUAGCGGCCAUGAGUUUCUUCUUUUCCAGCAGGGCGUCUGAGACUCGCACUUUGACUUGGUUCACGUACACAGGAGACCCGGACUCACUGGGCACGUCCGGAGCCCGGGAGUUAAUGGAGGUGACCGAGGAUGUGGAUCCCGGGGAGUCUGUUAUCAACUGGGCUCGGGUCAAGCGCUUGCCGGUCUUGUUGGGUGUCUGUUUCAAAAUCCGAGAGCGGGCUUCCACAUAGAUGCGGCCAUAGAGGGCGAUGAGGAGCAGGGUGGGUAAAUAGAAAGCGCCCACCGUGGAGUAGACCGUGUAGAGGACGUGGUCGGUGUUCACAAAGCAGUCCAGCAUCUCCUCCUCUGCUUUGGCUUGACGCCAGAAGAAGGGUGGCAACGAAAUAGAGAUGGAGAAGACCCACACCAGCACGAUCAUGAUGGCCGCCCUUUUGGGAGUCCUUUUAGCAGAAUACUCCACCGCAUCGGUGAUGGCCCAGUAGCGGUCCAGGGCGAUGACACAGAGAUGCAUGAUGGAAGCAGUGCAACAGGUGAUAUCCGACGACAGCCAGAAGUCGCAGACCACCUGGCCUAGUGUCCAGCGUCCAGUGACCGUGUACAUGGUGCUGAUGGGCAUCACCAGGAUGGACACGAGCAGCAUUUCAAAGCAAAACUCCUGCAAGUACCAUUUACAAGAAGGAUCUACGCGAGGCACAAAGCAAAUCUCAAGCAAACUGAAACUGACAGUUAAUCAAAAAAGAUGAUUAAGAAAAUAACCGUAAUCAAAGGAAAUAACUUCUCCAUCAACAAUCAGCAUACGCCACGACUGCAAGCUCCUGCUGCCUGCACCUCCUUGCCAUGAUGGACUGUACCUUGAACCCUGUGCUGAAAGAAGCCUGUUCUUUCAUAAGUUGCUUUCAUCAGAGUAUUAUGUCACAGCAACAGAAGAGAAACUAGGACAGCAUAAAUAAAAUUACAUUUCAUAAAUUUGCCAGCACCCAAAUCUAACUCAACCCUCCCAAGUAUACAGAGCCAUGUUCUAUCUUGUCCUUGUCAAAUACCCCUGUCUUUCUCUCAGGUACUUCCAAAGGCUGAUGGCUGACACCUUGGCAACAAAAAUGUAUAACUACAUUGUCUUGGUUCAUUCUUCACUCAGUAGAUUAUUGCUUUGGAUCCUAAAUGCCAAUAUUUUUUCUGUAUAUAUUAAAUGAAAAGGUCUAAGACAGUGAUGACUUCUCUUGUUAGAAAAGUUUACUUUUCUGCCAAAUGUAUACUCUAUUUUCAGUAUUAGAGUAUGCUUUUAUUAUGUCUAUUUUUUUCUCUACUACCGCUUGACUAUAACAGACUAGUUAUGUGAAUUUGUCCUAACGUAGUAAAUUUUAAGGCU